UUGCUGGACCCGGACUGCGUGUAUGACGCCACCAGCCACCAUGCGCCGCGAUCCCGGAGAGAGAGCCCACAGAAACCGGACGCACAUAGCGGGACCGUGGCACGGGGCGCUGUUGAUCAGAGAUUGACGCGGCAACGCCGGAUGAUCAAGCUUGCCCGGACGCGAAUGUAAUGCGCAGUAACAACAUCGACCGGAUCGCCUCCAGUCUGCACAUGCGCAGUGACAACAUCGACCGGAUCGCCCCAAGUCUGCACAUGCACAGUGACAACAUCGACCGGAUCGCAACAAGUCUACACGCGCGCAGUGACAACAUCGACCGGAUCGCCCCAAGUCUGCACAUGCGCAGUGACAACAUCGACCGGAUCGCCCCAAGUCUGCACAUGCGCAGUGACAACAUCGACCGGAUCGCACCAAGUCUGCACACGCGCAGUGACAACAUCGACCGGAUCGCCCAAAGUCUGCACAUGCGCAGUGACAACAAUGACCUGGGUCGCCCCAAGUCUGCACAAGCGCAGUGACACAAACACCACCCAGUCGGCCGAACGCCGCAGUUUUCAGUUUCCAGAACAACGAAAACGUGUCCCACUCGGAGGUGCAGUACCUAAUACAGACUCAACUCGACGUUCCUGUACGAAGUAUCCAGUUCGAUCCCCUCGAUAUCCGGUCGGCGCGACACGGGGUCAACUCCCGCUGGGUCGUCGAAUUUUGUACUAUAGCGGAUAUGGCAAAAGCUAUACAGCCGGGACUUCAAGUGGGCACGGACCGGCUGGUGUUCUACCCGCAUGAUGACGUCACUACACGCGAAAUCGCUGCCUAUAGAAACUACAUGGAGGUUGUUAACGCUCAUGCAGUGAUAGCGGCGUCUGCUGAUAACGCAGUGCGCGGGAAACUUAAAAACGCAGUUUCCAGCCGUCGACGUCACUCACGACCUUAAAGAUACUAUGAAGAUAUGAGCUAAUUGGAAUUGACUUUGAAAUCAUGUCAUUAUGCUAAUUUGUGUCGUUUGGUAUAUGUACCGUAGCACGUACCAAUAAUGACGCGAUUUUUUGAGUCAGGUUAAGAUUCAAGAGGGAUAAUUUCAUUACCGUCAUUUUAAUUCAACCAUCCACAUACAUUAAGGUACAUAUACGCUUCCUUUUUUUAGUUUCAGUUUUUGUUUGUUUUAAAUACUGUGAAUAUAAUACAUGUAUUGAUAAUAAUAA